UCCCAAAGGUGCGGGAUUACAGGCUGAGCCACCGAGCCUGGCAACUCAGCUCACUCUUGAGGCUGCCAUGUGGGUGGAUCAGAACUGGAGGAUACCCUGCCCCCCACUGAGCCUAUAAUCCAUCCACCUGGAACAACUGCAGCUGGUUUUCAAAGGAGGAAUCCUGCCACCUCUCUGCACCUGCCAGAACACACGAUUGUGGAAAUUGGUGAUUGUGCCAAGUAAGACCUCAUGACUGUAAGACAUUGUAUCAUUAUCGCCUUCUUCCAGGCUGACAAGAGGAAACUCGGAGAACCCCAGAUCCUGAGGCUGGGAAGGCAAAGAAGAACUGAUAUGGUGGCUUCUGUGACAAAGAACAUUGACUAAUAAGGCAGGGGCCAAGAAAGCCAUCAGACCACAGAGGACACACACGGA